rnacentral:rRNA from 1 species
GAGCUUGCUCUUGCUGACGACCGGCGCACGGGUGCGUAACGCGUAUACAAUCUGCCUUACACUAAGGGAUAGCCCAGAGAAAUUUGGAUUAACACCUUAUAGUUUAUUUUUAUGGCAUCAUUUAAAUAAUAAAGUUUACGGUGUAAGAUGAGUAUGCGUCCCAUUAGUUUGUUGGUAAGGUAACGGCUUACCAAGACUACGAUGGGUAGGGGCCCUGAGAGGGGGAUCCCCCACACUGGUACUGAGACACGGACCAGACUCCUACGGGAGGCAGCAGUGAGGAAUAUUGGACAAUGGAGGAGACUCUGAUCCAGCCAUGCCGCGUGCAGGAAGACGGUCCUAUGGAUUGUAAACUGCUUUUAUACAGGAAGAAUAAGGACUACGUGUAGUCUGGUGACGGUACUGUAAGAAUAAGGACCGGCUAACUCCGUGCCAGCAGCCGCGGUAAUACGGAGGGUCCGAGCGUUAUCCGGAAUUAUUGGGUUUAAAGGGUCCGUAGGCGGGCUGUUAAGUCAGGGGUGAAAGUUUGCAGCUCAACUGUAGAAUUGCCUUUGAUACUGAUGGUCUUGAAUUAUUGUGAAGUGGUUAGAAUAUGUAGUGUAGCGGUGAAAUGCAUAGAUAUUACAUAGAAUACCGAUUGCGAAGGCAGAUCACUAACAAUUGAUUGACGCUGAUGGACGAAAGCGUGGGUAGCGAACAGGAUUAGAUACCCUGGUAGUCCACGCCGUAAACGAUGGAUACUAGCUGUUUGGAUUUCGAUCUGAGCGGCCAAGCGAAAGUGAUAAGUAUCCCACCUGGGGAGUACGUUCGCAAGAAUGAAACUCAAAGGAAUUGACGGGGGCCCGCACAAGCGGUGGAGCAUGUGGUUUAAUUCGAUGAUACGCGAGGAACCUUACCAGGGCUUAAAUGUAGAUUGACAGGUUUAGAGAUAGACUUUCCUUCGGGCAAUUUACAAGGUGCUGCAUGGUUGUCGUCAGCUCGUGCCGUGAGGUGUCAGGUUAAGUCCUAUAACGAGCGCAACCCCUGUUGUUAGU